rnacentral:tRNA from 1 species
GCUGCUGUAGCUCAGCAGGCAGAGCACAUCCUUGGUAAGGAUGAGGUCCGCAGUUCGAAUCUGCGCAGCAGCUCCA